CGUACGAGAACUAUUUAGCCCGCCAAAAGAUAAUAAAAAAGGCCCACGGAGUAGAGUAACGCAUGGGUAAUCUUCCUCAGAAUUUGGGAUAACUCCGCGAAAGCAGGGGCUAAUACCGGAUAAUAUUUCAGGAUUUUCGGGUCUUGAAAUCUAAAAGUGGACUACAACAAAUAAGCUACUGUUUGGAGAUGAGCCCGCGUACCAUUAGCUUGUUGGUAGGGUAAUGGCCUACCAAAGGCUACGAUGGUUAGCUGGUCUGAGAGGAUGAUCAGCCACACUGGAACUGAUACACGGUCCAAGACUCCUACGGGAGGCAGCA
rnacentral:rRNA from 1 species